rnacentral:rRNA from 1 species
GACGAACGCUGGCGGCGUGCUUAACACAUGCAAGUCGAACGGAAAGGCCCUGCUUUUGUGGGGUGCUCGAGUGGCGAACGGGUGAGUAACACGUGAGUAACCUGCCCUUGACUUUGGGAUAACUUCAGGAAACUGGGGCUAAUACCGGAUAGGAGCUCCUGCUGCAUGGUGGGGGUGGGAAAGUUUCGGCGGUUGGGGAUGGACUCGCGGCUUAUCAGCUUGUUGGUGGGGUAGUGGCUUACCAAGGCUUUGACGGGUAGCCGGCCUGAGAGGGUGACCGGCCACAUUGGGACUGAGAUACGGCCCAGACUCCUACGGGAGGCAGCAGUGGGGAAUAUUGCACAAUGGGCGGAAGCCUGAUGCAGCAACGCCGCGUGCGGGAUGACGGCCUUCGGGUUGUAAACCGCUUUCGCCUGUGACGAAGCGUGAGUGACGGUAAUGGGGAAAGAAGCACCGGCUAACUACGUGC